CCCCUAGAUGUUCUGGGCCGCACGCGCGCUACACUGAACAGUUCAACAAGUCUUAACCUUGGCCGAUAGGUCUGGGUAAUCUUUGAACGCUGUUCGUGAUUGGGAUAGACCUUUGCAAUUAUGGGUCUUCAACGAGGAAUUCCUAGUAAACGCAAGUCAUCAGCUUGCAUUGAUUACGUCCCUGCCCUUUGUACACACCGCCCGUCGCACCUACCGAUUGAAUGGUCCGGUGAAAUCUCGGGACGGCGGCUUGGUCGCUUGCGUCCGACUGCUGAAACUUGAUUAAACCAUAUCAUUUAGAGGAAGGUGAAGUCGGANCA
rnacentral:rRNA from 1 species